rnacentral:lncRNA from 1 species
AGAUCCCCUGCCUGCAGCACGUGCUGAUCUCCAAGGGUGAGGCUGGAUGAAGCCAGGGGCUAUGGAAAGGGAGACUGUUUCAGAGGACUUGACACCAUCUUCAGUAAUUUCUCUGGUUCUUGGCAGCUCCAUUUGGCUGCGUCCCUACCCUGCAUAACCCUCCCAGCUAGUCUACUCCAGGGCAGCAUCCAGCUGGUGACCUGAGAGGGCAGUGGCGCACCAGUCUCCAUGAAGGUUGAGCUCCGAUGGCCAACAGCCAUUUCCACCUUGUGGUCUACAACUCUUCAUCCCGACUGCAUGGAGGUUGGUCUCUCUCUUCAGCUGGAUUUAGGCCACCAUCUGAGCCCCCGGGGUACGUUUUGUCUGACCCUGGCGCCAUUCGAACGGUUCUUCUACAGCAUCAGUUCUCUUUCCUGCCACCAUGUGAAGAAGGACAUGUUUGCUUCCCCUUCUGCCAUGAAUGCAUCAUGUGUCAUUCUCACAGCUGUUAGGACUUCAAUGAUGUUAUAAGGAAGUUGGGGCUCAGAGAAGCUACAGAACUUACCCAAGGACACACAGCCAUCACGAAAAACAUGGCCAGCAAAGCAGGUGAGGCAAAGAUCAGGAAGGACAUUAAACGCCAAACUAAGGAGCGGAACUGAAUGAGCAGUGAAGGGGAACAAUGGCUUCAGCAGGUCCACUGGGCUCCUCUUUUCUGUCAGCCUCCCCCUACCCCUCACCUCUGUACUACUCAUGUUACUAUCUACGUCUCUUCACCAAUGUCAUUGUGGAAAUAAAAGCUUAUCUGUAAGAGUA